rnacentral:rRNA from 1 species
ACCGGCAGCUCAAGUGGUGGCCAUUAUUAUUGGGCCUAAAGCGUUCGUAGCCGGUUUGAUAAGUCUCUGGUGAAAACUAACAGCAUAACUGUGGGACUUGCUGGAGAUACUAUCAGACUUGAGGUCGGGAGAGGUUAGGGGUACUCCCAGGGUAGGGGUGAAAUCCUAUAAUCCUGGGAGGACCACCUGUGGCUAAGGCGCCUAACUGGAACGAACCUGACGGUGAGUAACGAAAGCCAGGGGCGCGAACCC